rnacentral:lncRNA from 1 species
CACAAGGCCAGCCCAGAUUCAAGAUGAAAGGAAAUGGAUUCCAUCUCUUGAUCGAUGGAGCAGCACACACAUACAGAGAGAGAAGAAAGUGAUGGCCGCCAUAUUUGGAGAUUCCACCACACAUACUGUACUCUACAUUGUCACGCAGUUCUAAGAAAUUUCAAUUCACCACCAGGAAUCCUGAUUGAGCAGCUUCCCUCCAUGGAGCAACUUUAUGACUUAUUUUGCAUCUUUUUGAUAUUGAAAAGGUUGGAUGGCUUUCUGUUGGGGCAUACCACCUGGCAUCCCUAGACUUCAUUCAGAUGUACAGUUGAAUCAAAGACAAAGACAGUGAAUGGAGAAUCUAAAAUGAGGACUCAGAGUUCUCCAUUGUCCUAUUAUUGCACAAAGGAUGUCUAAAGAAAUGCCUAACGUCAAGGAGCAGGGAGUUAACAGCUGGGCACUCCCUUUCUUUAUAGCUCUUCUCCAGCUCUCCCCUUGCUGCCACAUGCAGGCCACCAUCUUCUAGCCAUGGAUUGAUUGCUAAGGGAGUCAGGUGGUGGGGUAGGUAUUUCUAAAUUAAAAGCCUAGGGAGAUUAUUCUAGCUCUCUGGAAAUAAAGGCACAAAAAUUAUUUUACUACUUCCAUUUCAUUUUAACAAACUGUGCUCAUUCACCUCCUGCUCUGUAAGGUGAUAAGAUAGAUAUUAUAAAUAG